UACGAAGGGGGCUAGCGUUGCUCGGAAUCACUGGGCGUAAAGGGUGCGUAGGCGGGUCUUUAAGUCAGGGGUGAAAUCCUGGAGCUCAACUCCAGAACUGCCUUUGAUACUGGGAGCUCGAGUCCGGAAGAGGUAAGUGGAACUCCGAGUGUAGAGGUGAAAUUCGUAGAUAUUCGGAAGAACACCAGUGGCGAAGGCGGCUUACUGGUCCGGUACUGACGCUGAGGUGCGAAAGCGUGGGGAGCAAACAGG
rnacentral:rRNA from 1 species